UUUUCUUCAUAUUUAAUGACGAUUGUAACUUAAUUAAAAUAGAAAAAGAAACAAAACCAAAACAAUGACAAUUAACAAAAAUAAACAAGUUGGAAUUAAAUUGUUUCCAAUUUGUUUACAAAACGAAAGGCGUUUUUGUCUCAAGCCGAAAGAGCGACUGAGCCGAUCGUCGAUUCGACUCACCCAAUGACCGAACUCAAAAUAAUUGAUUGAUUUCAAUCCUUUCGAAUGACCCGCUCUAUGAAUGGCUGUCACCACGAUGGGUCAUUUUGAAAGGCAUCACUGUGAUUGAUUGUGUUUUAUGUGAAUAUUGUGACUUGUAAAUUGUGAUAAGAGGACAUUUAAUUCAGUUGUAGACAUUUUUCAUUUUUCAUUAACACCAAUUUAUAAUCCUGUUCACCUUUUACUACUUUUCUCUUCUAGUGACCACGGGUCUCGAUCAACAUGAAUAGUAACUCUAAAGACACGGAGGAAAUGGCUUGUGGUGUGAAUGACAUCAAACUUGAAGAUAAAUCGAAACCGGAGGAAAAUAAAGUGGACAUGAUAAGAGAACCAAAUGAUUGGCAAAUGUAUAUUUUUUGGUUAUUUUUGCCGUCCGCUUGAUGAUGAUGAACAGGAGGAGAAUGAACUCGUUAUAGGAAUCAAUAGAUCUCGUACUAGCGGAACACGAGAGUGGACCGAUCGUGAGGUUUGGUCAACCUACCGGAUGAUUAUACGAGUCGCUGGAUCUUUUACUUGCUUGGAACAAUCGGAUUUCAACGAUUACUCACAACGGGCUAAGGCUGAAAUGCUAAAAUAUUUAAAAAACGGGUACCAGUACCCUACAAAUGCGACCCAAAUGUAAUCGCGAGAGAGAGAAGAACAAUAAUUUACCGUCAUUCGUAUUCGGUUAAAUUUAUUCAACACGAAUUAACAACAGAAUGAAUUUUGAUGUAAUUCUCUUUCAAUUAUUGUCUCCGGAUGGAUUAAUAGUGUCGAAGGAUAAAAAAAACAUAACAAUUAAAAUAUGGAUUUGAUUGGAUUGGA